UACGUAGGGUGCAAGCGUUAAUCGGAAUUACUGGGCGUAAAGCGUGCGCAGGCGGUUUUGUAAGUCUGACGUGAAAUCCCCGGGCUCAACCUGGGAAUUGCGUUGGAGACUGCAAGGCUGGAGUCUGGCAGAGGGGGGUAGAAUUCCACGUGUAGCAGUGAAAUGCGUAGAGAUGUGGAGGAAUACCGAUGGCGAAGGCAGCCUCCUGGGCCAACACUGACGCUCAUGCACGAAAGCGUGGGGAGCAAACAGG
rnacentral:rRNA from 1 species